rnacentral:rRNA from 1 species
UACGGGGGGAGCAAGCGUUGUUCGGAUUUACUGGGCGUAAAGGGCGCGUAGGCGGCCACCGCAAGUCGACUGUGAAAUCUCCGGGCUUAACCCGGAACGGUCAGCCGAUACUGCGGGGCUAGAGUGCAGAAGGGGCAACUGGAAUUCUCGGUGUAGCGGUGAAAUGCGUAGAUAUCGAGAGGAACACCUGCGGCGAAGGCGGGUUGCUGGGCUGACACGGACGCUGAGGCGCGAAAGCUAGGGGAGCGAACGGGAGGAGAUACCCCCGUAGUCC